rnacentral:rRNA from 1 species
AUUGAACGCUGGCGGCAGGCUUAACACAUGCAAGUCGAGCGGUAACAGAGAGAAGCUUGCUUCUCUGCUGACUAGCGGCGCAAGGGUGAGUAUUGCCUAGGAAUCUGCUUAGUAGUGGGGGAUAACUAGCCGAAAGGUAAGCUAAUACCGCAUACGUCCUACGGGAGAAAGGAGGGGACCUUCGAGCAUUUAGCUCUUAGAUGAGUCUAAGUCGGAUUAGUUAGUUGGUGAGGUAAUGGCUCACCAAGACCGCGAUCCGUAACUGGUCUGAGAGGAUGAACAGUCACACUGGAACGGAGACACGGUCCAGACUCCUACGGGAGGCAGCAGUGGGGAAUAUUGGGCAAUGGGGGGGAGCCCUGAUCCAGCCAUGCCGCGUGUGUGAAGAAGGUCUUAGGAUUGUAAAGCACUUUAAGUGGGGAGGAAGAGCAGUUAACUAAUAUUUGACUGUUUUGACGUUACCGAAAGAAUAAGCACCGGCUAACUUCGUG